UGUUUCAUCCCAAAGCUUUUAAACAUUCCC
rnacentral:piRNA from 1 species